CCUACGGGUGGCAGCAGUGGGGAAUAUUGGACAAUGGGCGAAAGCCUGAUCCAGCCAUGCCGCGUGUGUGAAGAAGGCCUUCGGGUUGUAAAGCACUUUCAGUGGGGAAGAAAGCCUUGGGGCUAAUACCCUCGAGGAAGGACAUCACCCACAGAAGAAGCACCGGCUAACUCCGUGCCAGCAGCCGCGGUAAUACGGAGGGUGCGAGCGUUAAUCGGAAUUACUGGGCGUAAAGCGCGCGUAGGCGGUCUGAUAAGCCGGUUGUGAAAGCCCCGGGCUCAACCUGGGAACGGCAUCCGGAACUGUCAGGAUAGAGUGCAGGAGAGGAAGGUAGAAUUCCCGGUGUAGCGGUGAAAUGCGUAGAGAUCGGGAGGAAUACCAGUGGCGAAGGCGGCCUUCUGGACUGACACUGACGCUGAGGUGCGAAAGCGUGGGUAGCAAACAGGAUUAGAUACCCUUGUAGUC
rnacentral:rRNA from 1 species